UACGGGGGGGGCAAGCGUUGUUCGGAAUUACUGGGCGUAAAGGGCGCGUAGGCGGCCUGCUAAGUCGGACGUGAAAUCCCUCGGCUCAACCGGGGAACUGCGUCCGAUACUGGCGAGGCUUGAAUCCGGGAGAGGGAUGUGGAAUUCCAGGUGUAGCGGUGAAAUGCGUAGAUAUCAGGAGGAACACCGAUGGCGAAGGCAGGUCUCUGGGCACUAACUGACGCUGAGGAGCGAAAGCAUGGGGAGCGAACAGG
rnacentral:rRNA from 1 species